CAAUAGCGUAUAUUAAAGUUGUUGCAGUUAAAAAGCUCGUAGUUGGAUUUGUGGCGUACGGUGUGUUCCGGGCACUUGUUGUCUGAGUAACCUGCUGUUGCCAUCCUUGGGUGGAACCUGUGUGGCAUUAGGUUGUUGUGCAGGGGAUGCCCAUCAUUUACUGUGAAAAAAUUAGAGUGUUCAAAGCAGGCUUAUGCCGUUGAAUAUAUUAGCAUGGAAUAAUGAGAUAGGACUUUUUUGCUAUUUUGUUGGUUUGCGCAAAGAGGUAAUGAUUAAUAGGGACAGUUGGGGGUAUUCGUAUUCCAUUGUCAGAGGUGAAAUUCUUGGAUUUUUGGAAGACGAACUACUGCGAAAGCAUUUACCAAGGAUGUUUUCAUUAA
rnacentral:rRNA from 1 species